rnacentral:rRNA from 1 species
UACGAAGGGGGCUAGCGUUGUUCGGAAUUACUGGGCGUAAAGCGCACGUAGGCGGAUCGAUCAGUCAGGGGUGAAAUCCCAGGGCUCAACCCUGGAACUGCCUUUGAUACUGUCGAUCUGGAGUAUGGAAGAGGUGAGUGGAAUUCCGAGUGUAGAGGUGAAAUUCGUAGAUAUCUGGAGGAACACCGGUGGCGAAGGCGCAUCCUGGACCGGCAUUGACGCUGAGGCGCGAAAGCCAGGGGAGCAAACGGG